rnacentral:rRNA from 1 species
UACGGGGGGUGCAAGCGUUAUUCGGAAUUAUUGGGCGUAAAGGGCGCGUAGGCGGUUGAAUAAGUCGGAUGUGAAAGCCCUUGGCUUAACCAAGGAAGUGCAUUUGAUACUAUUUGACUUGAGUAUGGGAGAGGGAAGUGGAAUUCCUGGUGUAGAGGUGAAAUUCGUAGAUAUCAGGAGGAACACCGGUGGCGAAAGCGACUUGCUGGACCAUUACUGACGCUGAGGCGCGAAGGCGUGGGGAGCAAACAGG